AAGGAUUUUGUUUUAUGUUCUAACAAUGAGUCUUUUUAUAAAGAUAUGUAGCCUGUUACCCAGGGCGUACCCUUAUGUAAUCUAUUUAUAAUGAAUACAUAUACUCUCAGUUUAUUGUUUCAUAAAUGGUGACAUUUUUAAGAACAAAAUCGACAUUCAUAUUUAGCUUUAGAAACUAUAUUUUUUCACUCAGAAGAUAAAAAGAGCAGCUGCAUCCUAAUUUUUCAAGA